UACGUAGGGGGCAAGCGUUGUCCGGAUUUAUUGGGCGUAAAGAGCGUGUAGGCGGUUAGGUAGGUCCGUUGUGAAAACUCGAGGCUCAACCUCGAGACGCCGAUGGAAACCAUCUGACUAGAGUCCGGAAGAGGAGAGUGGAAUUCCUGGUGUAGCGGUGAAAUGCGCAGAUAUCAGGAAGAACACCCGUGGCUAAGGCGGCUCUCUGGGACGGUACUGACGCUGAGACGCGAAAGCGUGGGGAGCGAACAGG
rnacentral:rRNA from 1 species